AGCGAACGCUGGCGGCAGGCUUAACACAUGCCAGUCGAGCGGGCCCUUCGGGGUCAGCGGCAGACGGGUGAGUAACGCGUGGGAACGUGCCCUUCGGUUCGGAAUAACUCAGGGAAACUUGAGCUAAUACCGGAUACGCCCUUAUGGGGAAAGGCUUGCUGCCGAAGGAUCGGCCCGCGUCUGAUUAGCUAGUUGGUGAGGUUAUGGCUCACCAAGGCGACGAUCAGUAGCUGGUCUGAGAGGAUGAUCAGCCACACUGGGACUGAGACACGGCCCAGACUCCUACGGGAGGCAGCAGUGGGGAAUAUUGGACAAUGGGGGCAACCCUGAUCCAGCCAUGCCGCGUGAGUGAUGACGGCCUUAGGGUUGUAAAGCUCUUUUCUCCGGGACGAUAAUGACGGUACCGGAGGAAUAAGCCCCGGCUAACUUCGUG
rnacentral:rRNA from 1 species